rnacentral:rRNA from 1 species
AAUCAACGCUGGCGGCGUGCCUCAGACAUGCAAGUCGAACGCGAAAGUUCCCUUCGGGGAGCGAGUAGAGUGGCGCACGGGUGAGUAACACGUAGGUAAUCUACCCUCGAGUGGGGAAUAACUCAGGGAAACUUGAGCUAAUACCGCAUAAUGCAGCGGCACCACAUGGUGACAGUUGUUAAAGCAUUUAUGCGCUUGGGGAGGAGCCUGCGGCAGAUUAGCUAGUUGGUAAGGUAAUGGCUUACCAAGGCAACGAUCUGUAACCGGCCUGAGAGGGCGGACGGUCACACUGACACUGAAUAACGGGUCAGACUCCUACGGGAGGCAGCAGUCGGGAAUUUUGCGCAAUGGGCGAAAAGACCUGACGCAGCGACGCCGCGUGAGGG